rnacentral:rRNA from 1 species
UCCGGUGGCUAUAGCGGAGGGGAAACACCUCUUCCCAUUCCGAACAGAGUAGUUAAGCCCUCCUGCGCCGAUGGUACUGCUGGGGACACCUGGUGGGAGAGUAGGACGCUGCCGGAU